AGCCUCCUGAGUAGCUGGGACUACAGGCGCCCGCCACCUUGCCCGGCUAAUUUUUUGUAUUUUUUAGUAGAGACGGGUUUCGCUGUGUUAGCCAGGACGGUCUCAAUCUCCUGACCUCGUGAUCCGCCCGCGUCGGCCUCCCAAAGUGCUGGGAUUACAGGCGAGAGCCACCACGCCCGCCCCUUCCCAUGUGAUUCUUAUACGCAGCCGUAUUUUGAAACCACUGUUCUACUAACUCAGACAAUGGUUUCUCAUUCCUCUCUCAUGUACUCCAAAUACUUUCUACUUCUACUUCUCCCCUAAAACAGUUCUUUUGAAGGGCACUAAUAUCUCCCUUGAUUUCCAAGUCCAGUUAACUAUUUUUAGUUUUUGUAUUAUUUUUUCAUACUGAGUCUCAACUUUUCUUUAAAAGCCUUGCUUUCUAUGACAUCCUUUCCAAAUCCAUUUCUAUAUUUUUCUCAGUUUUCCGUUCUGGUUCUUUUUCUCCUUCCUUCCUCUCAAAGGCCACUGUUUCCCAACCUCCUGCUCUUUGCUCCUUUUUCGUCCUUCUUUGUAAGCACCCUCAUGACUCCCUCCUCUUGCAGGGUUCCACUAUUACACAUUAUGUUUCUGUAGCCCGUAUAGACUUUUGCUGUAUAACAUCAGAUUCAUAUUUAAGAACCUACUAAGUCCUUCCAGAAUGGUGUUCCAGAUCCACCUCAAAUACCAUGUUUCUGUCAAACAGCAGCUUCUCCACCUGAACUAUUCUUUCUUUAGUAUCAUGAUUCCCCAGCCCUGACACUCAUGAGAAUCACUUGAGGAAAUUUAAAAUUCUGAGACUGGGCUGGGCGCAGUGGUUCAGGCCUGUCAUCCCAGCACCUUUGGGAGGCCGAGGCUACAGGAUCACCUGAGGUCAAGAGUUUGAGACCAGCCUGGCCAGCGUGGCAAAACCCCAUCUCUACUAAAAAUACAAAAUUAAGCCUGGCAUGGUGGUGCACGCCUGUAAUCCCAGCCACUAGGAAGGCUGAGGCAGGAGAAUCACUUGAAUCCAGGAGGCAGAGGUUGCAGUGGGCCAAGAUUGUGCCACUGCACUCCAGCCUGGGCAACAGAGGAAGAAAGAGACUCUGUCUCAUAAAAUAAAAAUAUAAAAAUAAAAAUAAAAUUCUGAGACUGACUUUCAGAAAUGUUGAUGUAAUUGAUCUGGGGUACCUAGACAUUGAGAUUUUUAAAAUAUUUCAGGUGCCCCUAAGGUUCAGGCAACCUGAAAGUUAGGAAGCACAAGAAUGAAUUUUAGUAUCAGGGUAUUCAAAGGUGGUUUCAUAUUAGAAUCACCAGGAGAGCAAUUUUUAAAUACUAUUAUAGACCCAAACCCAUUUCAAUUGAAUAAGAAUCUCUGAGGUUAGAUUUCAGGAAUUUGUAUUGUUUUAAAGUUCCCCAGGUGAUGCUUAUGUGUAGGCAAGGUUGAAAACCAUUGCUUUAGUAGUUUCAUCUCAAUGAAUGGCACUGUUUUCCACACAAUUGCUCAUCCAGGCCUGGGAGUCAUGUUAAACCCAGACUUUCUCCCCACCUUUCUCUUAUUCCACACUCAAAUAAAAUCCACAUCCCAUGAAUCCUACAUUUAUAAAAUAUUCCUUUUAAACAUCUUCUCUUGAAUGUCUAAUGGCCAUUUCAAGUUUUAACAUACAUAAAAUUAAGUUUUUGACAUUUCUAACCAAAACAGGACUUGCAAAGUCCAAAAUAUCAUUUUGACAUUUCUUUUCCUAAAAUAGUACUACAAAUAAAAGAUCAAUAUUGCCAAUUUUUUGAAGUGAACUUAUUUGAAUAAUAUAGACUUUUUAAAAAGAUCUUUGGAUUUUGUUUUUCUUUGUUCCUUUAGGAAAGAGUAUUAAAUAAUAAUAUUUAAGAUUAUAGUACUUUGAGUAUAUUUAGAUAGAAUGAUAGAACAAGAAAUUUAAAGAACUUCUGUUGUUGGAAGAAAAAAACUUAUAAAAAGAUUCCAUCUCUUUGUCAUGAGUUAAAAACAAACAUUUUAAAUUUCAAUAAAUUUCCAAAGGAAAUUUGGCUUAUAGUAAAAAAAAGGAAGAAGUAGUAGUAUAUUGAGAGUUAGUCUCAGCUCCUUGAACUUGAGAUGUUUCUAUCUAUGCCUGUUUCUUGUCUUUUUAAAAAUACUUUAAAUUUACAGCAAUAAUCUGUUAUAUUAUCUUCUUUGUUUUUAAUAUUGGUUCAUAUAAUUUCUUAGUGUGCUACUUCUUUCGUUCUUUCAAGAAAAAUGAAACUACCCAGAGAUGGAUUUCCAAUCUAAGUUUUCACUACCUUUUGUGCCCCUGAGAGCCAGUAAAUCCGGUCUGUUUUGAUAAUAUUUUAGCCAUGACACAGGCCAGUCAUGGCAAGGAAAAAAAAAUGAAUUCAUAAGAAAAAAAUCUGUAUAUUUGUGAAAAAAUCAGGAUCUAUCAUAUCCCAAGUUUAUUUGGUGGCAUUAACAUAUAAUAGUCCAUUUGCUUACUCCCCAUAAAUAUGUAAAAAGGCAAAGAGAAAGUAAAAAAUAAAAUUAUUCUUCCACUCACACAAGUGGCUGAAUAGGCCUAAUCAAUAUUAACUUCAUUGUUCCCCCAUAAUUCUAUGUUUAGCUUUUAAACAUCUAUCUUUUAAAUAUGCUAUUUUUAUUAAUUUCAAGUUAAUCAACUAAAAUAGGUUCAUUCCUUUCAUUUUACCAGUAUUACAAGUGACUGUCUAGGAGCCUGAGUUCUAAUGAGGCAGCCAUUCCAAACAAGUGCAGACAAAGCAGUGGUUUCCCUGGCAACGAGAACCAUGAAAAAGCUCUUAGAAUAGUUAUUCCCACCCUUACACACAACUCCUUUUCAUUUCAGUAAAGCUUCCUGUCAGAACACAUUCAUCAAUGUAAUUUGCCAACAAAGUUUAAGAGAUUAAAUCCCCCUCCCCACAAGAAUGUAAAAAUAAAAAAACAAAAUAAAACCUACAAUCAAAAAUCAACAGCUAUGCUGAAAUUGUAGUUAGGUCAUCAGGUAAUGCUUCAAAGGAAGUAAAGGACAUCAUAAGAUUCCUGAAUACAGUUAACACCACUUUGAACCUGAGAUUAAUUUUCGUUUGAUUUUUAACAGAGGAUACAGAAGGUAGAUGCAUCAGGAGGAGGGGCAGGUGCCUUUAAUCAUUACCUCUAGAAUUAUCACUUUUAACCUCAAAGCAGUUUUUAUUUAAUUUAGUAAAAGUUUAUAAAAGUUUAAAUUAUUGUAUGCAUCAAAUUAAGAUUUAAGAUGUCCUUCAUAAACAUUAACCUUUUGUUGGUGAUGUUUACCAAGAAAGGUAAACUCUGAAAACAUGAUGUCAUCGUUUCAAUUGGUGGAAUUAAGUAAAAGAUUUUCAAAUGAGGCACUUGAACCUAUUUUCUAUCUACGCAUGCAGUAGAAAAAAAGCACACAAAACAGGCAGCAUUUUGUGUUAUGCGGCAUUUCAAACAAGAGGGAAAACACAUCUGGAAAUAAAAGGUGUUUAGUUGAAAGAACUGACCUUAAAUAAAACAAUUGCAACACUUUAUUUGGGCUUCUUACUGGAAAUCAAAUUCUUUGAGUUUAAAAUACACCUACUAAAUGUAAUACAAAACCAAAAUAACACACUUUCAGCAUUUCUCAAAAUGUUAGCACCCAGCAAAUGCAGAGUUUACAGUUCUAGUGAUUUUCCCUGUUCUUUUCAUGGAAUGCAUAUCUAACCUGUUUUUCAGCCAGCAUGCUACAGCAAAGGAAGAUUCAUGUUGUCCAGGGCUAUUUCUUUAAAACAGUAUGGAAAUUACUUUUACCAUAAAUUAGGUUGUGCUUUAAUGCUGAGAAAGGUCUAUUUUGCCUUCAUUUUGACCCAUGACAUACUUAGCCUUAUAACAGCAUAAUGAGCAUAAUGAGGUCAAAACUAAUACUGCAAAAUAAAACACACUCACACAAACACACAUUAUUUCUCAAGGAAGAUGAAAAAAAAAAGGUUACAUUGAUUUUUUUUUUUUAAAGCGGGACAUUCUCACUACUUUUUUCACCUGAAGAUUGAAAAGGAAACUCAUUUCAGUUUGUAACAUUGCACUGACUGUUCCAGACACAAAAUGAAUCAAGUCUCCUGUUGGAUUAUGUGGUUAGCAUUUCUUCUCUUCCCUGAUAUAGAAAUUUAGAUCUGUAAGGACCAUCAGUGUGGUGAAGGUCACAUGGUAAGUUAAUUACAGAAUCAAAUUUUUCCCUUUCAUUUCAAUCUGUUUUUAAGUUCUACAUGAUUCCACUUUCAGGAAAAAGCUAUUAAAAUACAGACUGGCUUUGGUAAGAGUGAUAUAUAUUUUUAUGUUUCAGACCAGCAUGUUGUUUCAUGCUGAUGUUAAAAGAUAAUGGUUGAUAUCAGAUAAAUGCCCACACAUACACACAAACACAAACUAACUUGGGGUCCAAUAAAAUAAGACUGGGUGGUUCACAUAUUUUCCACUAGUGCAAAUAUUUUAAAGAGAUAAUUUUCUUUGAUAAAGUCUGUGUUCUUAAAACUGAUUAACACAUAGUCCUUACUAGAAACUCUUUACAAAAAAAAAAAAACCCAAAAAUGAGAGUGCAAAAAUUGAGAGAAUAAGUCAAAGGAGAAAGAGAAGUUCUACCAUAACUGAAAUUCAUUGUACCUGUACAUUAAUCAAAGAACAAAAUUGACUGUCAUGUGAUUUGACUCAUGCUAAAAUGUCCCUCACAAUGAAAAUAAUCUCUUUUAUUGGCCCCUCACAGUGUUUAAAAUUUUUCACCAUUUAAAAAAAAAUUGACUUAAAAUACUUCAUCUUCUGACAUUUUUGUUCACAAAAAUAGUAAAAUUAAAGGAAAAAGGUAGAUAAUAUACCAACUCUGCAGGGUAUUGCAGGAAGUUCAGAGAGGGAAAGAAAGAGGAACUAUAAAUAGUUAUCAUAAAUUACAGCUAAAUAUUUUAGUUUAGCAUAAAGAGGGUAUGAUGAAUGUAAACAACAUCACAUAUAGUUCAAAGUAGAGUUGUGGAAUUACUUUUCCAUGACAAUGUUUAAGAAUUGUACAGCUUUGCUGUUAUCUAGUGAUGUAUCCCCACCCAAAUCUCACCGUGAAUUCCCAUGUGUUGUCAGAGGGACCUGGUGGGAGGUAGUUGAAUCAUGGGAACAGGUCUUUCCCAUGCUGUUCUCAUGAUAGUAAGUUUCAUGUGAUCUGAUGAUUUUAUAAAGGGAAGUUUCCCUGCACAAGCUCUCUUCUCUUGUCUGCUGCCAUGUGAGACAUGCCUCUCACUUUCUGCAAUGAUUGUGAGGCCUCCCCAGCCACAUGGAACUGUAAGAUCAUUAAACCUCUUUCUUUUGUAAAUUGCCCAGUCUUGGGUAUGUCUUUAUCAGCAGUGUAAAAACAGACUAAUACAGUAAAUUGGUACCAGGAGUGGGGUGGGACUCUGCUCUAAAGAUAACUGAAAAUGUGGAAGCAACUUUGGAACUGGGUAACAGGCAGAGGUUGGAACAGUCUGGAGGGCUCAAAAAACAACAGAAAAAUGUGGGAAAGUUUGGAACUCCCUAAAGACUUGUUCUAUGGCUUGACCAAAAUGCUAAUAGUGAUAUGGACAAUGCAAUCCAGUCUGAGGUGGUCUCAGAUGGACAUGAGGAACUUGUUGGAAACUGGAACAAAGGUGACUCUUGAUAUGUUUUAGCAAAGAGACUUGUGGCAUUUUGCCCCUGCCCUAGAGAUUUGUGGAACUUUGAACUUGAGAGAGAUGAUUUAGGGUAUCUGGCAAAAGAAAUGUCUAAGCAGCAAAACAUUGAAGAGGUGACUUUUUAGCCGGACAUGGCAGUGUGCGCCUGUAGUCUCAGCUACUUGGGAGGCCGAGACAGGAGAAUUGCUUGAACCCAAGAGGGGGAGGUUGCAGUGAGCUGAGAUCAUACCCCACUGCACUCCAACCUGGGUGACAGAGACUACAAAAAAAAAAAAAAAAAAAGAUGUGAUUUGUGUGGUGUUAAAGGCAUUCAGUUUUAAAAGGAAAACAGAUAAUAAAAGUCUAGAAAAUUUGCAGCCUGACAAUGUGAUAAAAAAGAAAAUCCCAUUUUCUGAGGAGAAAUUCAAGCUGGCUGCAGAAAUUUGCAUAAGUAGCAAGGAGCUGAAAGUUAGUCACCAAGACAAUGGAGAAAAUGUCUGCAGGGCAUGUCAGAGACCUUUGUGGCAGUCCUUCUCCUCACAGGCUGGGAGGUUUUAGAGGAAAAAAUGGUUUCAUGAGGCAGGCUCAGGGUCCCUCUGCUAUAUGCAGUCUAGGGACCUGGUGUCCUGCAUCCCAGCUGCUCUAGCCAUGACUAAAAGGGGCCAAGGUACAGCUCAGGCCGUGGCUUCCAAGGGUGCUAGCCCCAAGCCUUGGCAGGUUUUACAUGUUGAGCCUGAGGGUACACAGAAGUCAAGAAUUGAUUUGGCAACCUCUGCCUAGAUUUCAGAGAACGUAUGGAAGCACCUGGAUGUUCAGGCAGAAGUUUGCUGUAGGGGCAGGGUGCUCAUGGAGAACCCCUGCUAGGAUAUUGUGAAAUGGAAAUGUGGGGUGGGCACCCCCACACAGAGUCCCCACUGGGGCACUGCCUGGUGGAGAUAUGAAAAGAAUGCCAUCGUCCUUCAGACCCCAGAAUGGUAGCUGUACCGACAGCUUGCACCAUGCACCUGAAAAAGCUGCAGACACUCAACGCCAGCCCAUGAAAGCAGCUGGGAGGGAGGCUGUGUCCCACAAAGACAGAGGUGCAGAGCUGCUCAAGACCAUGGGAACCUCCUCUUGGAUCAGUGUGACCCAAAUAUGAGACAUGGGGUCAAAAGAGAUCAUUUUUGACCUUUAAUAUUUGACUGCCCUGCUGGAUUUCAGACUUUCAUGGGGCCUUUGUUUUAGCCAUUUUUUUUUUUCAUUUGCAACAGCUGUACUUACCCAAUGCCCGUACCCCCAUUGUAUGUAGGAAGUAACUAAUUUUCUUCUUAUUUUACUGACUCAUAGGUGGAAGGGACUUGCCUUGUCUCAGAUAAAACUCUGGACUGUGAACUUUUGAGUUAAUGCUGAAACGAGUUAACACUUUGGGGGACUGUUUAAAAGGCGUGAUUGGUUUUGAAGUGUGUGGACAUAAGAUGUGGGAGGGGCCAGGGUGAAAUGAUAAGGUUUGGCUGUGUCCCCACCCAAAUCUCAUCUUGAAUUGCCAUGUGUUGUUUGAGGGACCCAGUGGGAGGUAAUUGAAUCAUGGGGGCAGGUCUUUCCCAUGCUGCUCUGGUGACAGUGAAUAAGUCUCAUGAGACCUGAUGGUUUUAUAAAGGGGACUUUCCCUGAACAAGCUCUCUUCUCUUAUUUGCUGCCAUGUGAGAUUUGCCUUUAACCUUCCAACACAAUUGUGAGGCAUCCCCAGCCACCUGGAACUGUAAGUCCAUUAAACCUGUUUCCUUUGUAAAUUGCCUAGUCUUGGGUAUAUUUUUAUCAGCAGCGUGAAAACAGACCAAUACAGCUAGGGUGGUUAAGAUAGAGAUAUGGGCAAGAUAGAAAUCCUUAACAACAAACACAUACAUCAAAUUGUUUCUUCCAUCUAGGAUGGUUCUUUUAACACACAGGUAAUCACUUUGUGUGUUUCAUUAAGGUAUUUUCAAAAUCUCUUUGAACAGCAUAAGUAUAACUUUUAAAAGCACGUACUACUAAUACUUUAUAAAAGUAUUUCAUAAGGUAGUUUACAGUAACUGAGGUUGAUUGGUGCCAUUAAGGAAAAAACUUUUACUUUUUUAUUACUAAAAAUCUAUGUAAAUCUCACUGGCACCAAAUGCAUUUUUCAAACAAAUAAAGAGGCUUGAAAUGGUGAACAGCUAUUCUUUACUGUCUACUAAGGAUAAGAAAGUACAGGCUGUUUUCAAAUUAAAACCAGAAGCAUAUACAAUGAGACAUUAUGUGGACUGUUGUGACUAUUAGGGUUGUUAGAUCAUGUGCUGUGUUACUAUGGGAUGUUUGGGAGGCUCCUUUGAAUAUAUUUUAUUAUCAAAAAAUUUAUUUUUCUGAUGUAUAUAAUCAGAAGCUCUUGAAGUAUAUAACUAUAUAAAUAUUAAAUGCUCACUUCCAACAUAAUAUUCAUUUGAUUAAUAAAACUGGAGACAAUUUAUUUUAGUUGGUGGAUUAUACUACUCUCAUCCUUGGUAGAUUAUGCCAUAAAACUGAAGUAUUUCAACCUCAGGAAAUAUUCCCACCAGUUAAGUUGAUGUUCAUUGCCAGAGUAUAGUUACUUUGUUGAAUUUCCACAUGUAAACUCUUUUAUUGAAUUAGAUAUGUAGAAAAGUCAUUGUUCUAUGCUUCAUUACCAGUUACCAGUGGCAUUUGUUCUUCUCUAUAUAAACUUAACAUAGCAAAAUUAUAACCUACCUAUCUGUAUAUUCUACACAAUAUAACUCCUAAUUUUAUCAUCGGUGAGAUGGUACAAAGAAUUCAACAGUCAAAUUAGACUCAUAUGAAGUAGAAAUGUUUAAUCAUUUUUAGGAUAUAAAAGUCUAGUGUCUGGAGGCCCAGGGAGAACUAAGGUGAGAGGUCGAGUAUUCACUGGAUCUCUUCCUACUACAAUAAAUAAGUUCUGGCACAUUACUUACACAAAAGAUAAAAAGUAUCAGUAAUAAACACUUCCAUUUUAUAAUCAAAUAGGCACAAAGGAUGCAUAAUAUUUUCCAGGAAGCGAUGCCCUAUAUAUCCAUAGAUUCUAGGGUUGUUGUUGUUUUUUUUUUUUUUAACACAGGAGAUGCUAAACAACCAAGUACAUGCUGCUAAAAACACCCUGCAGAUAAAAACCCUCCCACUAGCUAAUUUAACUAGCUUGUUUGCUAAAAAGUCUGCUUUUAGCAUGUUUACAAAUGUAUUAGUCUGCUAGGGCUAUUAUAACAAAGUAUCAUCAACCGGGUGGCUUAAGAGUGGGAAUUUAUUUUCUCACAGUUCUGGAGGCUAGAAGUCUAAGAUCAAGGUGUCAACAGGUUUGGUUCCUCCUGCGGCCUCUCUCCUUUGCUUGCACAUGGCUGCCUCCUUACUGUGUUCUCACAUUGCCUUUUCUUGAUGCAAGCACUUCAGUGGUGUCUUUUCCUCUUCUUAAAAGGACACCAGUCCUAUUGGACUAGGGUCCCAUUCAUAUGACCUUAAUUAACCUUAAUUACCUCUUUAAAGGCCUUAUCUCCAAAUGCAGUCACUUUGUGGGUUAGAGACUCAACAUAUAGGUUACAGGGGAACUUGAUUUAUUUCAUAACAACAGGGAUAUGACUUUUAUUUCCUUGUCCUCUAUAUAAAGGAAGAGCCUAGAUAGCAGAUCUGCUUCCCAUCCUUUUCUUUCUCAAUGAAGAAUGAUUUAUGUUUUCCAAAAACAAAAGAAAACUCAAAAAACUCUGGAAUUUUAUCUCACGAGAGCAAAUAAAUUGAAUCAUUCAGCCCCUAAAUGCCUCAAAAGUCUGUAGAAUAGAGCAGCUUCAAAAGAACAAGUGGGAAGUAAUGAGGAAGAGUAAGAGACAAAGCUUCACAAAGGCUGUGUUAAAGAAGAACUCUUACUCCUAGUGAAUUCUGAGGUGAUAUCACAGACUCAAUUUAUAUGCAAACCUGAAUUUAAGUGUACUAAAAAUAUAAAAUUCACUUUGGAGCUAAUGAAGUAACUUUUCGUCCAAAAAAAAUAUAUUACUUUAAGUAUUUCUCCUGUAGUAAAAGUAUUUACCGUUUUAUUCAUAGCUUUGGAUUGAGCAAAUAAAUCUUAAGAUAUAUGUGUCAUAAUAUAGACUAUAACAUAAAAUGUGGGUGAACACAGUAACUCACUUUUACAUCAUAAUCAAGUCAUUAGCUUCUCAUUUCCACAAUUAAAAGAAAUAUGUCUUAUCAGCUAUUCAAAAUCUUAGGUUAGAGAAAGUUACCAAGUAAUUAGCUGCUAUUCUGGACACACAGAAAUUAGAGUAACAAAACCAGUUCACACAUAGAUACAUUCUUUGAGAGACAGAAUAGUGGAUUAACCACAAAUAUAAAGUAGAGAAUGCAGAGAAUGCCC
rnacentral:lncRNA from 10 species